rnacentral:rRNA from 1 species
CACGUAGGGCGCAAGCGUUGUCCGGAAUUAUUGGGCGUAAAGAGCUCGUAGGCGGUCUGUUACGUCUGCUGUGAAAACCCAGGGCUUAACCCUGGGCUUGCAGUGGAUACGGGCAGACUAGAGGCAGGUAGGGGAGAAUGGAAUUCCCGGUGUAGCGGUGAAAUGCGCAGAUAUCGGGAAGAACACCCGUGGCGAAGGCGGUUCUCUGGGACGGUACUGACGCUGAGGAGCGAAAGCGUGGGGAGCAAACAGG